rnacentral:rRNA from 1 species
CCCUUAGACGUUCUGGGCCGCACGCGCGCUACACUGACCAGUGCAACAAGCAUCCGUCCUUGGCCGACAGGCCCGGGCAAUCUUUGAACAUCGAUCGUGAUCGGGAUAGAUUCUUGUAAUUUUUGAUCUUAAACGAGGAAUUCCUAGUAAACGCAAGUCAUCAGCUUGCAUUGAUUACGUCCCUGCCCUUUGUACACACCGCCCGUCGCACCUACCGAUUGAAUGGUCCGGUGAAAUCUCCGGACUGGCGUGCACCCUCGGGUGCUGCCGAGAAGUUGGCUAAACCUUNCNAUUUAUNGGAAGGUGAANUCGUANCA